GACGGAGGAUGCAAGUGUUAUCCGGGAAUCACUGGGCGUAAAGCGUCUGUAGGUGGUUCAAUAAGUCAACUGUUAAAUCUUGAGGCUCAACUUCAAUAUCGCAGUCGAAACUAUUGGACUCGAGUAUAGUAGGGGUAAAGGGAAUUUCCAGUGGAGCGGUGAAAUGACGUAGAGAUUGGAAAGAACACCAAUGCGAAAGCACUUUUACUGGGCUAUUACUGACACUGAAGAGACG
rnacentral:rRNA from 1 species